AUCCACUGUAGCUCAGUGGUAGAGCAUCUGCUUUGUAAGCAGAAAGUCUCAUGUUCAAUCUAUGGCAGGCAUG